AUACUGUGGGGACGAAAGUCUCUGCUUUUAACUAGAUAGCAACUUUCAGCAGUGGAUGUCUAGGCUCGCACAUCGAUGAAGAACGCUGCGAACUGCGAUACGUAAUGCGAAUUGCAGGAUUCAGUGAGUCAUCGAAAUUUUGAACGCAUAUUGCACUUCCGGGUUAUGCCUGGGAGUAUGCCUGUAUCAGUGUCCGUACAUCAACCUUGGCUUCCUUCCUUCCGUGUAGUCGGUGGAUGGGAAC
rnacentral:rRNA from 1 species